AUGUAUUCUACCCUCAAAAGCAAUAUGAUUUCAGUGAGGGGGACAUGCUCUCUAUCAGGAGGUGGUGGUUGGACAGCUGUUGGAGACCUUUAUACUUGAAAGCCCUGCAGAACUAGCUGGCUCCUUCUCACCCUCUCCAUCUCCCCAUCUCAGUCACACCUUCCAAUCACUAAGCAGUGAAAGCCCUGCAGGACUAGCUGGCACACCAAGCUCACCCUCUCCAUCUCCCCAUCUCAGCCACACGCUCCAAUCUGGCACAACAGAGGACAGGCCAUUCUUACCACCCGAAGUCCUUCAGCAAAUUGUACAAGAGACGCUGAGACUGGACAUGGCGAUGCUUGGCGUGUUCAACAGGGUUUCAAACACAUUCCGAGAACUAAUCAAGCCUCUCCAUCCUUCCAUAUAUAUAAAUGACAGUUUGGCAGGGGACAUUAAGCUUAAUAAAGACAAUCUCAUAUACAUAACGGUUAGAAAGAUUUACAACAAUGCAGGCUGUGGCAGUGGCCUUGCGCUACGCCUCAAA